rnacentral:lncRNA from 1 species
CAAGAGCAAUCAUCAUACCAAGAAAGUUGUCUUAUGCGACGGAGUGAACUUGCUUGUCUCGGAAGUAUAUAUUCAUUUGUUUUUCAAUCUCUUCUUGCUCUUAUGAGACAAAAGAAUACGUGAUGAGAGACAAAAGGAACAAGGGGAUAUAUUUGCAUUCCAAGACAAUUUUUUAUUUGAUUUUAUUUUGUAUGCGACAACCUUAACAAAGAAUUUUUUUUAGUAAUUUUAGAGCCAAUGAAUGAUGAACAUGUUUAAUUGACAACCAAAUUGCUCUAAUUCAUGUCCAUCCAAAACUCACUAUUAAAUAAUGACAAUGAUCAAUGAUAUUUUAUGUAAUGUACCAUCAUUUAAAAAAAAUUAUGCUAAUCGUGUCUUCAACAUCAUAUUGAGACAACUACAUAAGGAGUUUAAGUAAUAGACAAGUUUGGUAAAAGCCUAAUCUUAUGCCAUGAUUUGGGUUUUUAGGAAGAAAUCUUAAAUCCCCACUUAUAUAAGUUUUAAGUAGGGUUGUUUCCAUAUUUGCCAAAAUUGUCAUUGCCAACCUUACCUUGGUGGUUAGCUUAAUUAGCCCCAUCUCCUUUCCCUUUCCCUCUCUCCCAUUUAAAUCAUCAUAUUUGCUACCUAUCCAUAGCGGAGCGAGUAGGGUUUGUGCCCUAUGCGUCUAGAGCCGGACUCAACCACCUCAUACAAUACAACUAGUGACAAGCCUGCAGUAUUAGGCUCGACAUUUAAAUCAUGGGGUAUGAUAUUCAUAUAUCAUUUUUUACUUCUCACAUACCCUUCUAAAUUUCGGUUGUUGGAUCGAAUGGAUUGAAGAAGAUCAAAUGAUAGAAAUUAACAAGGAGUGUGUGAGAAGCAAAAAUAGGUAUGUAGAUAGCAUACCCCUAAAUCAUAAC